rnacentral:misc_RNA from 1 species
AUGGAGAGAGACUUCGACCUUGGCAUGGGCAGACCUGGCGGGCUCGGAGGACUUGGUGGUGAACCGAUCAUGCAACAAAUGCCACAGCCAGCGCCUCAUCAUCCAUCCCGUAGUAGUAACGACCACAAUGUGAAGAACCUCAUGAAGCAGGCCGAGGAGAACUCCGGAUAUCUCACAUUGCAAGGUAACCGUCGUAAAGCUGACUUGAAGGAGCUUCAGUUCGUGGAAGAUAUUGGUCAUGGAAGCUGCGGUACGGUCACAAAGUGCAGAUACAAGAGUGUGAUCAUGGCUGUGAAGACGAUGCCUCGGACGUCAAACAGUUAUGAAAUGUCCCGCAUUUUGAUGGAUCUUGACGUCAUCUGUCUCUCUUUCGACUGUCCGUACAUUGUACGUUGCUUCGGAUACUUCAUCACCAACUUCGACGUCCGUGUCUGCAUGGAGUGCAUGGCUACUUGCCUUGACCGUCUGCUUAUCCGCAUCAAGCAGCCAAUUCCAGAGAGAAUUAUUGGAAAGUUGAGUGUGAGCAUCAUUAAAGCUCUGCACUACUUGAAAACCAAGCACCAAAUCAUGCACCGUGAUGUGAAGCCAUCAAACAUUCUCCUCGACUGGAGUGGCGUCAUCAAGCUUUGCGAUUUCGGUAUUGCUGGCAGACUGAUCGAGUCUCGUGCUCAUUCGAAGCAAGCCGGAUGCCCUCUGUACAUGGGUCCUGAGCGCCUCGACCCCAACAACUUUGACUCGUAUGACAUUCGCAGUGACGUGUGGUCUUUUGGUGUUACUUUGGUCGAGCUGGCAACCGGACAGUACCCAUACGCCGGAACCGAAUUCGACAUGAUGUCCAAGAUUCUCAAUGACGAGCCACCGCGCCUGGAUCCGGUAUGUGCUCUUCGUAAAAAAUUCAUCUAGAAAAAGCUUUUAAGAGCUACCAGUAGACAUAAUAUAUGCUUUAUGGCGGCUAGAAACAGUACACAACUAGUAUUUAUGUAUUUUACAAUUUUACAGGCCAAAUUCUCUCCGGACUUCUGUCAACUCGUCGAGAGCUGCCUGCAGCGUGAUCCAACGAUGCGUCCCAAUUACGAUAUGCUCCUCCAGCAUCCGUUUGUCGUGCAUCACGAGAAAAUUGAAACCGACGUCGAGGAGUGGUUUGCCGAUGUGAUGGGCGAGUGCGGAUAA